rnacentral:lncRNA from 1 species
UUGAUAGGUUUCUUUGAUAUGUAAAUUUGGUUGACAAUAUCGUGAGUGCCACAAGAGAAGCUCUGAUAGAUGGAGGGUGCCUGAAAACUCAACCUGGCUGCUUGACCCACAUCAUAUAAAUAUAAGAAGGCAUAUGCACAGAUUUAUAAGGCCAGAAAAUAUUCCCGUUGAACAUGGAGGAUUGAUUCAACCCAAAGACUUUAAGAAUGGUCCCCCUCAACCAUGUUUUAAGUUAUAAUUGUUGAAGCCUGAAGGAGGAGAAAAAGCUAACAUACAAAUAGAAGGAAUUGAGGUUUCAAGUAUAACUUUAGUGUUUUAAGUAUAAUUUUGUAACUUUGUCAUUCUAAUUUAUGCUUCUAGGUAUAACUAUAUAUAAUUUUGUAAAUUUAUACUUUUCAGUGUAUAGCGUAUUAACUCUAAUAUUGUGGUAUGAUUUAGUGUGU